rnacentral:rRNA from 1 species
GUGGGGAAUCUUGCGCAAUGGGCGAAAGCCUGACGCAGCCAUGCCGCGUGCAGGAAGAAGGCGCUACGCGUUGUAAACUGCUUUUAACCGGGAAGAAACCCCAGGACGUGUCCUGGGUUGACGGUACCGGAGGAAUAAGCACCGGCUAACUUCGUGCCAGCAGCCGCGGUAAUACGAAGGGUGCAAGCGUUAUCCGGAUUCAUUGGGUUUAAAGGGUGCGUAGGCGGAGCGUUAAGUCAGUGGUGAAAUCCUGCAGCUUAACUGUAGACUUGCCAUGGAUACUGGCGCUCUUGAGUGCGCUUGAAGUGGGCGGAAUGUGCCGUGUAGCGGUGAAAUGCUUAGAUAUGGCACAGAACACCAAUUGCGAAGGCAGCUCACUAAGGCGAUACUGACGCUGAGGCACGAAAGCGUGGGGAUCGAACAGGAUUAGAAACCCCUGUAGUCC